rfam:Felis catus isolate Cinnamon breed Abyssinian chromosome X, whole genome shotgun sequence.
GCCUGGGUGGCUCAUUUGUUUAAGCAUCUGACUUCAGCUCAGGUCAUGAUCUCCUGGUUCGUGGGUUCAAGCCCCACGUCGGGCU